GUGCUUGCUUCGGCAGCACAUAUCCUAAAAUUGGAACGAUACAGAGAAGAUUAGCGUGGCCCCUGCGCAAGGGUGAAAAUUACAGUACUCAAAGGGCUCAAAGAGAAU
rnacentral:snRNA from 1 species